UCACGUCAAAUGAAUUCUCUAAAUCAUUUAGUAACUUCAACUAACUUAAAAUUUACUCUUCUAGCCCGAAUGGAAACUUACCAUUAGAAAUGCUAAUAAUGGCGGCGCGAACCGGUACCGAAGAGUACUCCUCGAGAAAUUUACUGAACUUCUCUGUAGCUAUCCACACGUUAGAAGAAUUUAGCCAAAUUUCUUACGUUUUAAUUCGACGGAAGCAGA